rnacentral:rRNA from 1 species
CCUACGGGUGGCAGCAGUGGGGAAUAUUGGGCAAUGGAGGCAACUCUGACGCAGCAACGCCGCGUGAAUGAUGACGGUCUUCGGAUUGUAAAGUUCUAUGAUGGGGGAUGAAAACAAUGACGGUACCCCAAUAGCAAGCCACGGCUAACUACGUGCCAGCAGCCGCGGUAAUACGUAGGGGGCAAGCGUUAUCCGGAAUGACUGGGCGUAAAGGGAGAGUAGGGGGUAAAGUAAGUGGUAGGUGAAAUCCCGGGGCUCAACCUAGGGGUUGCCGCAAAAACUAUUUGGCUAGAGUGCAGGAGAGGUAAGCGGAAUUCCUAGUGUAGCGGUGGAAUGCGUAGAUAUUAGGAGGAACACCAGGGGCGAAGGCGACUUACUGGACUGUAACUGACGCUGAGGCACGAAAGCGUGGGGAGCGAACAGGAUUAGAUACCCGAGUAGUC